GGGCGCUUAGUGGAGUGGUUACCACGUUGGUCUUCGACGCACCUCUAAGGGGUUGAUUCGUCAACCAAAGUUCGUCGGUUCGAUCCCGGCAGUGCUCA
rnacentral:tRNA from 1 species